rnacentral:lncRNA from 1 species
UGCUUUGUGAUAUACUGGUCAAAGCCAAACAACAACAGUAAUUUCCCCACAAGCACCAAGAAUAUGAGGUGAGGAUGAUUACAUUGGAAAUAACACCAAAGAAGUGAGUAUAUCUGGUAUUAAGAAAGAACAGUUGUGUGGCCUUGCUUAAGUCUCUUAAUCUUUCCAAGUAGACACUCAUUCCUGUGACUCACAGGCAUAGGACGCAUUGGAACAAACACUGACGGGGUUACGUACGCUUCACCCGAAAAAGGCUCAUUCCUUACCCCCAAUACCCUUUUCCUUAGAAGGCUGCUGUGGAGCUCAAAUGAAACAAUGUAAGUCAAAAGGUUUUUAAGAAUAUAAAUAUUUUUAUUUACUAAGAAAUAUAUGUUGCCAGGCCGGGCACGGUGGCUCACGCCUGUAAUCCCAGCGCUUUGGGAGGCCGAGGUGGGCGGAUCACGAGGUCAGGAGAUCAAGACCAUCCUGGCUAACAUGGUGAAACCCCGUCUCUACUAAAAAUACAAAAAAUUAGCCGGGCGUGGUGGCAGGCGCCUGUAGUCCCAGCUACUCGGGAGGCUGAGGCAGGAGAAUGGCAGUGAAUCCGGGAGACGGAGCUUGCAGUGAGACGAGAUCGUGCUACUGCGCUCCAGCCUGGGCAACAGAGUGAGACUCCAUCUCAAAAAAAAGAAAGAAAUAUAUGUUGUCAAAUAUUAAGCACUUACUAUGUGCCAGGCAUUGUGCUGAGGGUUUUACAGUCAUUCAUUCAACAAAUGAACAUAAGGAGCUUUUACUACAUGCCAGGUGCUGUUCCUGGCACAGAAUGAAGGGAUAUAUCAAUGAGCAAAACAGGCAAUGUCCUUGCUCAUGGUACUUACAUUCUAGCAGGAAGGGACAGACAAUAAACAAUGAAAUAAAUAAAAAUAAGAAAAUAUCCAGUAGUGGAAAGUGUAUGAUGGCAAUAACACAAGUUGAAGUGACAAUAACUGGUGAGCUACUUUUAGACUUCAGGUCAAAGAAACUGUAGUGGACAUUUGUCGAAUUUUCUGGCUUCUCAGCAUUUGAACGCUUCUUAUAUUUUGGGAAUUCCCCUUUUGAGUCUAGUGGGAAGCAGAGCCCCUUACCACUAUAAAGUGAGAAAGGAGGUGACUGAGAUUCUCUUUCUGAGGCUCCCUUGCAGCUACAAUGUGAAUAUAUGGCCCAGGCUAUGCCAACCAGACACAUCACCCCUAAACCCUGAACUGGGAUCUAGUGUCUCAGAGUCAGAGGACCACAGAGAGUUCACCUGGAGUGUAGCAAGGGGUGGCCACAGUGGCCAUUAAGUCCAGUGCAGCAGGUGGUGUUAGCUGUGUAAGUAGUGGUGGCAACAGUGUGUUCACCAGGCUGAGUCUAUGAAUGAUUUUAGUCGUGGGUCCUGCCUAUUGCCCAGUUUCUCUUGUUUUAGCAUUCUUCAAGCAUGACUCUAUGACCUUCCCUGAUGUUUUGUGAAUUUCCUUAAUAUCUUUUCAAUAAUCAGCCAGAGUUGGUUUCUGUUGCAUACAACUACAAAUCCUGCCUGAUAGAGAGGGGUUCUCUGAGAAGAUGACAUUUAGGCUGAAACAUGAAUGACAAGCAGCAGCAAAGAACUGGGGGAAAACCACUUCCAGGGAGAGAGUGCUAAGACCCCAGAAGAAGAGUGGUUCAAAAAGUUUUGGCCGGGUGUGGUGGUUCACGCCUGUAAUCCGAGCACUUUGGGAGGCUGAGAUGGGUGGAUCAACUGAGGUCAGGAGUUCAAGACCAGCCCAGCCAACAUGGUGAAACCCCAUCUCUACUAAAAAUACAAAAAUUAGCUGCGUGUGGUGGAGCAUGCCUGUAAUCCCAGCUACUAAGGAGGCUGAGGCAGGAGAAUCGCGUGAACCUGGGAGGCAGAGGUUGCAGUGAGCUGAGAUCGUGCCACUGCACUCUGGCUUGGGCGACAGAGCGAGACUCCAUCUCAGCAAAAAAAAGUUUUACGGGCUGGUCCAAAGGUACCAAGUUAUCUCAAUUGAUUAUUCACAGUUACAUAUUGAACUCCUUGUUCUACUGUUUCCCCUCUUGUCACUACUGCACUUGUCUUAAACAAAAAAAGCUUGUAGGGUAGAUGCUCUUACUGUCAUAAUUUUACAUAUGAGGAAACAUAUUCAUAGACAUGCAACAAUUUUCACAAUAUUACACAGCUAAAACUGGAGAUGGAACAGGAACUCAAACCCAGGGCCAUGUGAUUCCAAAGUCCAUUCUCUUGACAACUAUGGUAUGUAAUUUCCUAGAGUAGCAAUCACUAUGAGAAUCCACCAAAAGAGCCCACUAAAUUGCCAUGACUUAUUCAUUAAUUUUCUUAAAAUGUUAAUGGGGUAUUUACCUAGCACCAAGCACUGUGAUAGACAAGGAGGAAUAAUGAGAUGAAACACAUAGUAGCCAUACUAAGAAAGCUCAGUAUCAAAGAGAAGGGGUUUUUAGCUAAGACUGGUGCGUGGCUUGGAAAUACUAAAAGGAACAAAAAUGGGGGGAAAAGAGAAACCAGACAAGCAGGAAACCACAAUUCAGGUAAAUGGUAAAAUGGAAGUUGGGAUCAAAUUGGUAGACAGGUUUAAAAAAAAAAAACAAAAUGUCAAAUUUGGCUAGGCACGGUGGCUUACGCCUGUAAUCCCAGCACUUUGGGAGGCUGAGGUAUGCAGAUCACCUGAGGUCAGGAGUUCAAGGCCAACAUGGUGAAACCACAUCUCUACUAAAAAUACAAAAAAAAUCAGCCAGGCGUGGUGGUGCAUGCCUGUAAUCCCAGCUACUGGGGAGGCUGAGGCAGGAGAAUCGUUUUAACCUGGGAGGCGGAGGUUGCAGUGAGCCGAGAUUGCGCCACUGCAUUCCACCCUGGAUGACAGAGCGAAACUCCGUCUCAAAAAAAAAGUCAAAAUUUAAUACAACUGAUGCCUACUUAGCAUUCUUUUUUUUUUGAGACAGAGUCUCACUCUGUCACCCAGGCUGGAGUGCAGUGGCGCGAUAGCUCACUGGAACCACUGCCUCUCAGGUUCAAGCGGUUCCGUGCCUCAGCCUCCCAAGUAGCUGAGAUUACAGGAGUGCAUCACCAUGUUUAGCUAUUUUUUAUGUAUUUUUUGCAGAGACAGGGUUUCGCCAUAUUGGUCAGGCUGAUCUUGAACUCCUGACAUCAAUUGAUCCACCUGCCUUUACUUCCCAAAGUGCUGGGAUUACAGGCGUGAGCCACCACGCCUGGCCUGGUUAGCAUUCUGGUGAAUAUUUCUGCUCCCAUCCUGAGAAGAAAUGAUAGCAUACUGGUAGAGAGCUCAUCUUGGAGCAUGCCUAUCUUCUCUCCUCUCAAGAAAAGGGACUCAGUGCCUUUCCACAAGCUUUUACAGGCAGACAAACUAACUAGAAACACUUUAUUUUAAAAAAUCAUUUUGUUUUUUUCUUUUUUUUGUUUUUGUUUUUAAAACUGGAAACACUUCUAAGUAGAGAUUAUUUAAAAGGUUCACAUCGGGAAGGAAAUACCCUUAAAUCUACCAAGGGGCAUAACAAGUUUCAUACCUCAGUCCAAAAGUCUCUCAAACACAAAUAAUCAGAUCAAUAAAUCAAUAGUUAUUCGAGGAUGAGAAGAUUUAAACAUGAUCAAAUUUUAAAAGCAUUAUUUUAAGGAGGGCUUUGAGCUCAGAUAUAAAAUGACAUGAAUGAGAGAUUUGGAUUGACACAAUAAAGUUACAUAUAUGAUUAAACACUAGAAAAGACUACAUCAAGGGGAUUUCUACCUGGUGCAGUAUGCAAAUUACAUAAUGUUCAGUUCUGCUAAGAGGCAAAAAGGCUGAAAUUAGUGACUAAGAAUUCAUAAAAUAAAAUUUUCAAUGUCUAUUUUGCCAGGCACUGUGAUAAACUUUGAAAAUAUAGCAGAUGCCUGAAUGUGGCGGCUCACGCCUAUAAUCCCAGCAUUUUGGGAGGCAGAAGUGGGAAGAUCGCUUGAGGUCAGGACUUCGAAACCAGCCUGAACAACACAGCAAGACCUUGUCGGUUAAAAAAAAAAAAAAGAAAGAAAGAAAGAAGAAGAAAGAAGAAAGAGAGAAGAAGAGGAAGAGGAAGAAGAGAAGAGGAAGGAGGAGGAAGGAGGAGGAGGGAGGAGGGAGGAGGAGGAGGGGAGGGGGAGGGGGAGGGGAAGAAGAAAGAAGAAAGAAGAAGAAGAAGAAAGAAGAAAGAAGAAAGAAGAAGAAGCAGAAACAGAGAGGAGGCCGGCCGGGCGCAGUGGCUCACACCUGUAAUCCCAGCACUUUGGAAGGCCAAGGUGGGCAGAUCAAGGAGGCCAAGGUCAGGAGAUCAAGACCAUCCUGGCUAACACAGUGAAACCCUGUCUCUACUAAACGUACAAAAAGUUAGCCAGGUGUGGUGGCACG